rnacentral:rRNA from 1 species
AUUGAACGCUGGCGGCAUGCCUUACACAUGCAAGUCGAACGGUAACAGGUCUUCGGAUGCUGACGAGUGGCGAACGGGUGAGUAAUACAUCGGAACGUGCCCGAGAGUGGGGGAUAACGAGGCGAAAGCUUUGCUAAUACCGCAUACGAUCUCAGGAUGAAAGCAGGGGACCGCAAGGCCUUGCGCUCACGGAGCGGCCGAGGGCAGAUUAGGUAGUUGGUGGGAUAAAAGCUUACCAAGCCGACGAUCUGUAGCUGGUCUGGGAGGACGACCAGCCAAACUGGGACUGAGACACGGCCCAGACUCCUACGGGAGGCAGCAGUGGGGAAGUUUGGACAAUGGGCGCAAGCCUGAUUCAGCCAUGCCGCGUGCAGGAUGAAGGCCUUCGGGUUGUAAACUGCUUUUGUACGGAACGAAAAGACUCUGGUUAAUACCUGGGGUCCAUGACGGUACCGUAAGAAUAAGCACCGGCUAACUACGUGCCAGCCGCCGCGGUAAAAC